GCACAAGCGGUGGAGUAGUGUGGUUUAAUUCGAUGCAACGCGAAGAACCUUACCUGGUCUUGACAUCCCGGAGACCCUUAGGAAACUAGGGGGUGCUUCCAUCUGGAAGAAUCUGGAGACAGGUGCUGCAUGGCUGUCGUCAGCUCGUGUCGUGAGAUGUUGGGUUAAGUCCCGCAACGAGCGCAACCCUUGCCUUUAGUUGCCAGCAGUUCGGCUGGGCACUCUAAAGGGACUGCCGGUGCUAAACCGGAGGAAGGUGGGGAUGACGUCAAGUCCUCAUGGCCUUUAUGACCAGGGCUACACACGUACUACAAUGGCCGAUACAAAGGGCAGCGACACUGCGAGGUGAAGCCAAUCCCGUAAAAUCGGUCUCAGUCCGGAUUGGAGUCUGCAACUCGACUCCAUGAAGUUGGAAUCGCUAGUAAUCGUGGAUCAGCAUGCCACGGUGAAUACGUUCCCGGGCCUU
rnacentral:rRNA from 1 species